rnacentral:rRNA from 1 species
GACGAACGCUGGCGGCGUGCCUAAUACAUGCAAGUAGAACGCUGAAGGAGGAGCUUGCUUCUCUGGAUGAGUUGCGAACGGGUGAGUAACGCGUAGGUAACCUGCCUGGUAGCGGGGGAUAACUAUUGGAAACGAUAGCUAAUACCGCAUAAGAGUAGAUGUUGCAUGACAUUUGCUUAAAAGGUGCAAUUGCAUCACUACCAGAUGGUCCUGCGUUGUAUUAGCUAGUUGGUGGGGUAACGGCUCACCAAGGCGACGAUGCAUAGCCGACCUGAGAGGGGGGUCGGCCACCCUGGGAGGGAGAAAAGGCCCAGAAGCCUACGGGAGGCAGCAGGAGGGGAUCUUCGGGAAUGGACGGAAGUCUGACCGAGCAACGCCGCGUGGGGGAAGAAGGUUGUCGGAUCGUAAAGCUCUGUUGUAAGAGAAGAACGAGUGUGAGAGUGGAAAGUUCACACUGUGACGGUAUCUGACCAGAAAGGGACGGCUAACUACGUG